AUAUUGGACAAUGGGCGAAAGCCUGAUCCAGCCAUGCCGCGUGUGUGAAGAAGGCCUUUUGGUUGUAAAGCACUUUAAGCGAGGAGGAGGCUACUUGGAUUAAUACUCUAGGAUAGUGGACGUUACUCGCAGAAUAAGCACCGGCUAACUCUGUGCCAGCAGCCGCGGUAAUACAGAGGGUGCGAGCGUUAAUCGGAUUUACUGGGCGUAAAGCGUGCGUAGGCGGCUUUUUAAGUCGGAUGUGAAAUCCCUGAGCUUAACUUAGGAAUUGCAUUCGAUACUGGGAAGCUAGAGUAUGGGAGAGGAUGGUAGAAUUCCAGGUGUAGCGGUGAAAUGCGUAGAGAUCUGGAGGAAUACCGAUGGCGAAGGCAGCCAUCUGGCCUAAUACUGACGCUGAGGUACGAAAGCAUGGGGAGCAAACAGG
rnacentral:rRNA from 1 species